rnacentral:ncRNA from 1 species
UACGAUAAAUGGCAAACUUACUGAAAAGUGAGGACGCAAAGCCGAGGGUCUAAUGUUCCUGUUGGAACUAUGACAGCCUGGUUACCGAA